GGCGCACGGGUGAGUAACGCGUGAGAAUCUGCCCUCAGGAGGGGGAUAACGGCUGGAAACGGCCGCUAAUACCCCAUAUGCCGCGAGGUGAAAUGAAUUUCGCCUGAGGAUGAGCUCGCGUCUGAUUAGCUAGUUGGUGGGGUAAAGGCCUACCAAGGCAUCGAUCAGUAGCUGGUCUGAGAGGAUGAUCAGCCACACUGGGACUGAGACACGGCCCAGACUCCUACGGGAGGCAGCAGUAGGGAAUAUUGCGCAAUGGGCGAAAGCCUGACGCAGCAAUUCCGCGUGGUCGACGAAGCCCCUCGGGGUGUAAAGACCUUUCGGCAGUGACGAUUAUGACGGUAACUGCAAAAGAAGCACCGGCUAAUUACGUGCCAGCGGCGGCGG
rnacentral:rRNA from 1 species